CAAAGCCAGUAGGUUUUAAGCAAAUGCACUCUUCCACUAGCUAAUGGAAUCUGUCAUCUGAGUUGAAAUAUGCCAUCUAAAACUAGUUUCCUGAUAACUUGAACAAUUUAUGAAGGGUUCUGACUGGUUGUUUGGACUUUUCUUUCCCCCCUGCAGCUGUGAAUUAGAUGGAAAAAUACUGCAGCUGAACAUAAUGUUGUUUUGUCACUGGCAAAUUCACUGCUGGCACUGAAUUCAGCCUGCAAAAGUAAAGAGGUCAUGACAUAACAUCUGUUUUGUGGAGAGCAUAGUUAUUACCACCAGUAAUACUGUAAACGCUGGAAUGGAAAAAAUAACUCUAGACCAGAGCUGCUGUAGUAAUGUCUUUGACCAUUGUGUGGAUUACAGGAGCUGGAUUUCCCCUAGAUGUGUGCUUGGAAGAUGCAUGUAAAGGCUAACCUCUGUCCUAGAGAUGAAAUUCCAACCGGAGCUGGACAAAGCACAAAUGAUGUGGAGAAGAAUCUCAAGUUACAAGAAUGUGCCCAGUGGAGCUGAGGGCACUGCCAGCAACUGCUUGAGAGCCUAUAGGAUCGCCAGACUUAUGAAAGCUGUAGUGCUCAAUGCUCCUGCUUGCUGCUUUCAUCAGGAUCUCUGGACACGCACUGUUGCUGCGCUGGGUCAUUGCUCUGUUUCUGAGUUUGAGAGAUCCCUGCCUCCUACAGCACAAGGCUACAGAGCCAAGGGUACAGAGUUGUUGCCAUGAAAGCUGCGUUGCUGUGCAUUGAAACGCUGCUGGAAUUUUGGA